AAGACGAACGGCACCCCUCUCCGGAGGGAAGCGAGUGGCGAACGGCUGAGUAACACGUGGAGAACCUGCCCCCUCCCCCGGGAUAGCCGCCCGAAAGGACGGGUAAUACCGGAUACCCCGGGGCGCCGCAUGGCACCCCGGCUAAAGCCCCGACGGGAGGGGAUGGCUCCGCGGCCCAUCAGGUAGACGGCGGGGUGACGGCCCACCGUGCCGACAACGGGUAGCCGGGUUGAGAGACCGACCGGCCAGAUUGGGACUGAGACACGGCCCAGACUCCUACGGGAGGCAGCAGUGGGGAAUCUUGCGCAAUGGGGGGAACCCUGACGCAGCGACGCCGCGUGCGGGACGGAGGCCUUCGGGUCGUAAACCGCUUUCAGCAGGGAAGAGUCAAGACUGUACCUGCAGAAGAAGCCCCGGCUAACUACGUGCCAGCAGCCGCGGUAAUACGUAGGGGGCGAGCGUUAUCCGGAUUCAUUGGGCGUAAAGCGCGCGUAGGCGGCCCGGCAGGCCGGGGGUCGAAGCGGGGGGCUCAACCCCCCGAAGCCCCCGGAACCUCUGCGGCUUGGGUCCGGUAGGGGAGGGUGGAACACCCGGUGUAGCGGUGGAAUGCGCAGAUAUCGGGUGGAACACCGGUGGCGAAGGCGGCCCUCUGGGCCGAGACCGACGCUGAGGCGCGAAAGCUGGGGGAGCGAACAGGAUUAGAUACCCUGGUAGUCCCAGCCGUAAACGAGGGACGCUUAGGUGGGGGGGGAGGUUCCCCCCGUGCCGCAGCCAAAGCCAUAAAGCGUUCCCCCCGGGGGAGUACGCCCGCAAGGCUAAAACUCAAAGGAAUUGACGGGGGCCCGCACAAGCAGCGGAGCAUGUGGCUUAAUUGGAAGCAACGCGAAGACCCUUACCAGGGCUUGACAUAUGGGUGAAGCAGGGGAGACCCCGUGGCCGAGAGGAGCCCAUACAGGUGGUGCGUGGCUGUCGUCAGCUCGUGUCGUGAGAUGUUGGGUUAAGUCCCGCAACGAGCGCAACCCCCGCCGCGUGUUGCCAUCGGGUGAUGCCGGGAACCCACGCGGGACCGCCGCCGUCAAGGCGGAGGAGGGCGGGGACGACGUCAAGUCAUCAUGCCCCUUAUGCCCUGGGCUGCACACGUGCUACAAUGGCCGGUACAGAGGGAUGCCACCCCGCGAGGGGGAGCGGAUCCCGGAAAGCCGGCCCCAGUUCGGAUUGGGGGCUGCAACCCGCCCCCAUGAAGUCGGAGUUGCUAGUAAUCGCGGAUCAGCAUGCCGCGGUGAAUGCGUUCCCGGGCCUUGCACACACCGCCCGUC
rnacentral:rRNA from 1 species